CAGACCUGGAAGCUGCAUGACCAGGCUUGAGGCAGGCAGCAGCUGGGGUUUGGGAGGACACAGGCACGUGGAUAGCCUCCUGUGGGUGCCUUGCUGCAGAUGAGGCAGCCAUGAGAAACAGUUUGUCUUUCCAGCCGCCUCCUCCACCCUUUGCUACAGAGCCUCCAUGCCACAGCACGGUGCCAGCUGCAGAAAGAUUGAUUCAUAGGACCCAACAACUUCCUGGCAAGCAGUAGGAAUUCCCAAACUACUGGCGGACUAUUUAUUGACUGAACCGGCCAUCGAUAAGGAAAUAUUAUGAAGAUGCCAACACACUACCUGGAUGUCUCGGCUUGCAUCUGUUCAUAUGCAGUCUUGGUUCCUGGGCUGCCCACAAUGCGUGCUUUAUCAUAUUGCUGUGGUGGCUUUGUUGACAUCUGGCUCAGUGGCUAACUCAUCAGCGUCACUUGGGACUGUGCUCAGGCAGUCCUGCACACACUCUGCUGUGAGUGGUCCCCGCCUGCACUAUGUAGUUCCCUACACUUCAUUAUCAUACUGUAAUGCCACCCCAUCUGCCCCGCUCGCUCUUCAGCACAAUGAUAAGGAAUGCAGGGAAAGACUGAGUCUCAUCCCUAGUCUCAGCCCUGCAGUCUGGCAUGGCAUUUGAGUGAUGCACAUUUCACUGCAUACCCAAUGGGUUCACAGGACAACUGGACUCUGAAUCUUGCAUAUCUUCCAGAGUUCUCUGGGAGGCUUUUGUGAAAGGAGACUGUGAACUAGGUCUUCUUAAGAUGUCAGAAAUAUCUACUUUCUUAGUAGCCUGGCUACUCAUAUUAUGCAAUUCUUUCCGUAAUUUCUUGGAAAUUACACAUAAUGUAAAUUC